rnacentral:lncRNA from 1 species
CUUACCCAAAGACAAAUAUUUGAACUUAUUUUUCUGUUUUCUCAUCAGUGGUAGAAUGCUGUGAUAUUUCCCUUCUCUUUCUCUUUUGGCCACACCAGACAGGAGAAGGGAAUUUAAGGAAAUGUGGAGCAUAGUAGUUACAGGGAAGAUGGAAAAAGACAUGUGUUGUUUGAGUUUGUUUCUGAAAUGUUUCCACAAUAACUAUCUUUAAACACUUUAUGUGUCUAGAAAUGCAGGUUACUUGGUGAAAUCUAAUCUCAAUGGAAAGCUUUGAUGCUCUGUAUCAAAUGAAAACUAAUUUAACUAAGCCAUCUAUGCUGCACAUUAAUAUUAAGCAAUUAUAUUAACUAAAAGCACUGUGAAUACAUGAAUU